GUGAAUCAUCAAAUCUUUGAACGCAAAUUGCACUCUCUUUGGAGAGUAUGCCGGUUUGAGGGUCAGUAUUAAUAAAAAUCGGUGUGUUGCUUAUUUGUGAGGCUUCGGAGUUUGGGUCAUCUUAAUAUCUUUUAGGUUUGAAGAGUUAUAAAAUUGAAUUUUUCUGCGCAUUAUAGAUGUACAUAAAUUCUUUUUUUUAUUCGUCUGUCUUAAUGUUCAAAAUCAUAUUAGAUGAGACCAUAUCGUGUGGUUUCGGGACUAUAAAUAUUUCAUGUCUCG
rnacentral:misc_RNA from 1 species